AAAAAUACUUGAUGUGUGUGCACUACAUUCAUGCAGGAACCUGCAGGGGGCAGAUCCCCUGGAACUGCAGUGACAAGUGUUUGUGAGUCACUACAUGGGCGCAGCCAGUACUCUUAACUGCUGAGUUGUCCCUCCAGCCCCAGCUCCGUUUCCUCUUCUUUCAGCCCAGAACCCCAGCCAAUAACAUGGUGUUACUUACAUGCAGAGCGGGAGUUCCUUCCUCAGACUUCUCUGGAAACGCCCUCACACAUAGCCCUAAGGUGGUGUGAGCACUGUCCUCCCAGCGUGACAUGAGAACAGCUCGGGCUGUUCCAGAGACUGGAGAUGGGGUCUGCUGACUGGUCAUGCUCCUUCACAGAUUUGAUCGGCUGGGCUGUCAAACGUUACAUCCUUGAGUGGACGAGGAUUGCAUAAUUCUGUAGGAUCAGCCCGGGAAGCGUUGUCCCGCCUGUAUCAGUGAUUGACAGAAGGCAGAGCAGAGAGAGGGCUGACCGUGCCUGUGAACACGUUUGAAGUUGCGGCGUUCCCAUUUUGUACAAGGGUUUAAAAGAGCGCCACCACCAUUUUCAUGAGCUUGGGAUGGUUGUUUCUGACAUCUGCACAGUUAUUUCAAGAAGCCAAGAGAGUUAGAAACUGUGAAGAUUGACAGCAGGCACAGAGACAGAUGAACUACUUAAGCAUCAAAUCAAACAAGAG
rnacentral:lncRNA from 1 species